AAAUGCGAUAAGUAAUGUGAAUUGCAGAAUUCAGUGAAUCAUCGAAUCUUUGAACGCACCUUGCGCUCCUUGGUAUUCCUUGGAGCAUGCCUGUUUGAGUAUCAUGAAAUCUUCAAAGUAAAUCUUUUGUUAACUCAAUUGGUUUCUACUUUGGUAUUGGAGGUCUUUGCAGCUUCACACCUGCUCCUCUUUGUUCAUUAGCUGGAUCUUAGUGUUAUGCUUGGUUCCACUCGGCGUGAUAAGUUAUCUAUCGCUGAGGACACUGUAAAAGGUGGCCAAGGUAAAUGCAGAUGAACCGCUUCUAAUAGUCCAUUGACUUGGACAAUACUUUUAUGAUCUGAUCUCAAAUCAGGUAGGACUACCCGCUGAACUUAAGC
rnacentral:misc_RNA from 1 species